rnacentral:tRNA from 1 species
GGAGGGGUGGCAGAGAGGCCGAUUGCAGCGACCUUAAAAGUCGUAACGGGCACUCACCCUGCCCGUCGCGGGUUCGAAUCCCGCCCCCUCCG